rnacentral:rRNA from 1 species
GAUUAGCGGCGGACGGGUGAGUAACACGUGGGCAACCUGCCUUAUAGAGGGGAAUAGCCUUCCGAAAGGAAGAUUAAUACCGCAUAAGAUUGUAGCUUCGCAUGAAGUAGCAAUUAAAGGAGCAAUCCGCUAUAAGAUGGGCCCGCGGCGCAUUAGCUAGUUGGUGAGGUAACGGCUCACCAAGGCGACGAUGCGUAGCCGACCUGAGAGGGUGAUCGGCCACAUUGGGACUGAGACACGGCCCAGACUCC